rnacentral:rRNA from 1 species
GUGAGGAAUAUUGGACAAUGGGCGCAAGCCUGAUCCAGCCAUGCCGCGUGCAGGAAGACGCAUCUAUGGUGUGUAAACUGCUUUUGUACGGGAAGAAACACUCCCUCGUGAGGGAGCUUGACGGUACCGUAAGAAUAAGGAUCGGCUAACUCCGUGCCAGCAGCCGCGGUAAUACGGAGGAUCCAAGCGUUAUCCGGAAUCAUUGGGUUUAAAGGGUCCGUAGGCGGUUUAAUAAGUCAGUGGUGAAAGCCCAUCGCUCAACGAUGGAACGGCCAUUGAUACUGUUAGACUUGAAUUACAAGGAAGUAACUAGAAUAUGUAGUGUAGCGGUGAAAUGCUUAGAUAUUACAUGGAAUACCAAUUGCGAAGGCAGCUUGCUGAACCAUUAUUGACGCUGAGGCACGAAAGCGUGGGGAGCGAACAGGAUUAGAAACCCGGGUAGUCC